rnacentral:lncRNA from 1 species
CUUCCUCUCACGUCUCCCUCUCUCCCGUUCUACAGGAGCCACCGCUGCCAGGGAACCCCGCCAUGGAUGCCCGUCGAGCCGCCCCUAAGCUUCGUCCGCACCGCCGUUUCCUGGAUCCGCCCGUCUUCGCUGUCUCCGGCGCUGCCGGAGCCCCAAGACCCCUCCGCCAAGACCCGUCGUGGCCGCUGUCGUGCCCCGCCACCGCUUCCUGGUUCGAGUGCCCGUGCAAGGAGACGACCAGGAGCAAGCCUAGCGCCCGUGUUGACCGCUCCACCACGUCGGCCCAGCGUCUCCAGCGAGGCCCAGCUGCGUGACCUACCGGCCUCCCUCCUCUACCGAGUGGGCCGAGGCCCAUGGUGAGGCCAGCUGCGCGCCUAAGUCGGCCUGCCCGUGAGGCCGCCGCCAACCUCCCUCACUAACUGGGCUUGGCCCAUGGUGAGCGCCCAGUCCGCCCAGUUUCAGCCUGCUGUGUUUUUUUUUCAGAUCUGGGAAUUUAGCUGUUAUUCCAGAGAAAGCAGUUUUACAGAAAAGCCCUUCAAGUUCAUGCACUUAAUAACUAAUUAAUCGUGCACCGGAUUAAAAUGAUCUCUAUAUGUAAUAUGUCUAGAAUUUUGUCUAGUUUAAUAAUAUGCAACUUUCACUCAUGUUUAAGAUGUUUAAAAUGAUGUUUGUUUAAUUUGUCCCUAUGCCAUGUUAAAAUGAUUUAAUUCAUAACUAUUUAACCGUAGCUCCAAACCUAACAAACUUUAUAUGCAUUUGGGGUAGAAAAUGCCUAGUUUAACAUGGUGUACUUAUUUUGCAUGUUUAUUAACUCUAAAAUUAUGUUUAGGGCAGAACAGUACCAAACCUAAUAUAUGCAUAUGGGGAUUUACCGGAAUUGUAGUUCAUUGCUUCCGACCUCAUUUAACCUUGACUAGAUAGGUAGUUUUACUUUGCUUCACCCUCUUGCCAUGUUUGACAACAUUUAAUAUUGUUGGGUACAUAACCGAGAGGGAACUAAAUAAUUGAUGUGGUGUUCCGUCAAUAUGCAACCCGUUCCAUAUUGUGCUUCACUUAAUUUGUAGGAUUGCUUGUGCACUUUGCCAUGCCAUGCCUCUUUAAACCGGACAUGCAUCAUACUUGAUUGCGCAUCGUGCCAUGAUUAUGUGAUGGUUGUUUUACUAUAUUGUUUGCUUUCUUUCCGGUGUUGCUUCUUCGGGUUGGUUCCGAUAACGUCGCGUUUGUGAGGACCCGUUCGUCUACGUCUGUUUGUCUUCUUCAUGGACUCGUUCUUCUUCCUUGGGGGAUUUCAGGCAAGAUGAUCAUACCAUCGAAAUCACUUCUAUCUUUGCUUGCUUAGUUGCUAGCUCUUUUGCUAUGCCUAUGCUGCGAUACCUACCACUUGCUUAUCAUGCCUCCCAUAUUGUUGAACCAAGCCUCUAACCCACCUUGUCCUAACAAACCGUUGUUUGGCUAUGUUACCGCUUUGCUCAGCCCCUCUUAUAGCGUUGUUAGUUGCAGGUGAAGAUUGAAGUUUGUUCCUUGUUGGAACAUGGAGAUGUUGUUCCUUGUUGGAACAUGUUUACCUGUUGGGAUAUCAUAAUAUAUCUUAUUUAAUUAAUGCAUCUAUAUACUUGGUAAAGGGUGGAAGGCUCGGCCUUAUGCCUGGCGUUUUGUUCCACUCUUGCCGCCUUAGUUUCCGUCAUAUCGGUGUUAUGUUCCCGGAUUUUGCGUUCCUUACGCGGUUGGGUAAUAAUGAGAACCCCUUGACAGUUCACCUUGAAUAAAACUCCUCCAGCAAUGCCCAACCUUGGUUUUACCAUUUGCACUAACAACCUACCACCUUUCCUUGGGUUCUGCAGACUCAAGGGUCAUCUUUAUUCUAACCCCCCCCCCCCCGGCCAGUGCUACUCUGAGUGUUGAUCUGAACUGAGUUGCCUGCGGGGCCACCUCAGGGAAACUUGAGGAUUGGUUUUACUUGUAGCUAGUCUCAUCUGAGUGUGCCCUGAGAAAGAGAUAUGUGCAGCUCCUAUCGGGAUUUGUUGGCACAUUCGGGCGGUGUUGCUGGAUUUGUUUUAACCUGCCGAAAUGUCUUGAAGAAUCGGGAUACCGAUUCUGAUCGGAAUGUCUCGGGAGGAGGCCUAUUCCUUCGUUGACCGUGAGAGCUUGUGAUGGGCUAAGUUGGGACACCCCUGCAGGGAUUUGAACUUUCGAAAGCCAUGCCCGCGGUUAUGGGCAGAUGGGAAUUUGUUAAUAUCCGGUUGUAAAAAACCUGAAGUUAACCUUAAUUAAAAUGCAUCAACCGCGUGUGUUACCGUGAUGGUCUCUUUCCGGCGGAGUCCGGGAAGUGAACACGGUGUUGGAGUUAUGCUUGACGUAGGUUGUUCUAGGAUCACUUCUUGAUCAUAGAUUUCUCGAACGUGCUUUGCCUUCUCUUCUCGCUCUCUUUUGUGAAUAUGUUAGCCACCAUAUAUGCUAGUCGCUUGCUGCAGCUCCACCUCUUACCUUUACCUUACUCAUAUGCUUAAAUAGUCUUAAUCGUGAGGGUGCGAGAUUGCUAAGUCCCCCUGGCUCACAGAUACUUCCAAAAUCAGCUUGCAGGUGCCGUUGAACCGUGCAGAUGACGCAACCAAGCUCAGGAGGAGCUCGAUGAAGAUCUUGUCCCUUGUGUUGUUUUCGUUCUAGUUGAUCAGUAAUGGAGCCCAGUUGGGGUCGAUCGGGGACCUUUGUUGCAUUUGAUAUUCUUCUUUUAUUUUGGUUCCGUAGUCGGACCCUGAUUGUAUUUGGAUGAUGUAAUGCUUUAUUCAUGUAUUUGUGUGAAGUGGCGAUUGUAAGCCAACUAUGUAUCUUUUUUUCCUAUUGUAUUACAUGGGUUGUGUGAAAAUUAC